rnacentral:rRNA from 1 species
GAUGAACGCUGGCGGCGUGCUUAACACAUGCAAGUCGAACGGAAAGGCUCCUGCUUGCAGGGGUACUCGAGUGGCGAACGGGUGAGUAACACGUGGGUGAUCUGCCCUGCACUUCGGGAUAGGCCUGGGAAACUGGGUCUAAUACCGGAUAGGACCACAUUUUGGAUGGUGUGGUGGAAAGUUUUUCGGUGUGGGAUGAGCUCGCGGCCUAUCAGCUUGUUGGUGGGGUAAUGGCCUACCAAGGCGUCGACGGGUAGCCGGCCUGGGAGGGUGUACGGCCACAUUGGGACUGAGAUACGGCCCAGACUCCUACGGGAGGCAGCAGUGGGGAAUAUUGCACAAUGGGCGCAAGCUUGAUGCAGCGACGCCGCGUGGGGGAUGACGGCCUUCGGGUUGUAAACUCCUUUCGCUAGGGACGAAGCGCAAGUGACGGUACCUGGAGAAGAAGCACCGGCUAACUACGUG